rnacentral:rRNA from 1 species
UACGGAGGGUGCGAGCGUUAAUCGGAAUUACUGGGCGUAAAGCGCACGCAGGCGGUUUGUUAAGCUAGAUGUGAAAGCCCCGGGCUCAACCUGGGAUGGUCAUUUAGAACUGGCAGACUAGAGUCUUGGAGAGGGGAGUGGAAUUCCAGGUGUAGCGGUGAAAUGCGUAGAUAUCUGGAGGAACAUCAGUGGCGAAGGCGACUCCCUGGCCAAAGACUGACGCUCAUGAGCGAAAGUGUGGGUAGCGAACAGG